rnacentral:rRNA from 1 species
GAUGAACGCUGGCGGCGUGCCUAAUACAUGCAAGUCGAGCGAACAGACGAGGAGCUUGCUCCUCUGACGUUAGCGGCGGACGGGUGAGUAACACGUGGAUAACCUACCUAUAAGACUGGGAUAACUUCGGGAAACCGGAGCUAAUACCGGAUAAUAUAUUGAACCGCAUGGGUCACUCGUGAAAGACGGUUUUGCGGUCACUUAUAGAUGGAUCCGCGCCGCAUCAGCUAGUUGGUAAGGUAACGGCUUACCAAGGCGACGAUGCGUAGACGACCUGAGAGGGUGAUCGGCCACCCUGGCACUGAGACACGGUCCAGACUCCUACGGGAGGCAGCAGUAGGGAAUCUUCCGCAAAGGGCGAAAGCCUGACGGAGCAACGCCGCGUGAGUGAUGAAGGUCUUCGGAUCGUAAAGCUCUGUUAUUAGGGAAGAACAAAUGUGUAAGUAACUAUGCACGUCUUGACGGUACCUAAUCAGAAAGCCACGGCUAACUACGUG